GACGAACGCUGGCGGCGUGCUUAACACAUGCAAGUCGAACGGAAAGGCCUCUUUCGGGGGGUACUCGAGUGGCGAACGGGUGAGUAACACGUGAGUAACCUGCCCUUGACUUUGGGAUAACUUCAGGAAACUGGGGCUAAUACCGGAUAGGAGCUCCUGCUGCAUGGUGGGGGUUGGAAAGUUUCGGCGGUUGGGGAUGGACUCGCGGCUUAUCAGCUUGUUGGUGGGGUAGUGGCUUACCAAGGCUUUGACGGGUAGCCGGCCUGAGAGGGUGACCGGCCACAGUGGGACUGAGAUACGGCCCAGACUCCUACGGGAGGCAGCAGGGGGGAAUAUUGCACAAUGGGUGGAAGCCUGAUGCAGCAACGCCGUGUGCGGGAUGACGGCCUUCGGGUUGUAAACCGCUUUCGCUCAUGACGAAGCUUUGUGUGACGGUAGUGGGUAAAGAAGCACCGGCUAACUACGUG
rnacentral:rRNA from 1 species